UCUCAUUGCUGAUUGGUUCAUUGCCGAUGACCUAUAAAUAUGUCGCUGCUUUGCGCCUCUAUGUUGCGCUGACGAACUUAUGGAUUUGUGACCUUGAUUAGUUGAAAUUUUGCUUCAGCAGCAAUUGUGUUUAUGAAUUGUGCAGAAGUAAACUCUUGUCUGAAGUGAGAGAUUAGGCUUGUAAAGAAUGAAGCAUGAAAUCUUGUAAGAUACCUCAAGUAGACCAUACAUUUAGCUCAGCACACUGUACAUGUAAACAAUAAAAAAGUUUUCAACGGUGACUGUAGAAGAAAUAAAAGCUGAUUACCAGAUAGGAUGAUGCUGAGAAUGUAGCUCAAUGGAAAUAAUUUCUUACCCAAUGCACUGAACCGCAUGAGAGGAUCUAAGCCUCAGUAAAUCAACUAGGACAUUGAUAACAUGAAGAAAUCUUAAAAGGAUUGUCAGUGUAAACUGCCAGUAGCUAAGAUACACAUCUAGAGUAUUGUAAGAACAAAGUGUGGCUGAUCAUCUGAGAGUAGAAGAAAACUUUGAUCAACAAAAACCUUGGCCACUAAAUGCAACUCUUAGCACACAGUAGUAGGAAAAAACUUGGUGAAAAAAGUCAGUGAUGACUUGCAAUGUUUCAAUGAAAUGACAGAGCAGCUGGAGACUGGAAACAGAAACUUGGGCUAGUACAAAACUCUGUGAGGGAUAUAAGCAAGGAAAAAACAGAGAGAUGUUGAACCUAAAGAAUAAAUUAGUCCAACAUUUUUUUUAAGAUGUAAUGCUAAUAGAUCUUCCUAUCCCAGACAUAACUUUAGCAUAAGAUGUGCUUAUGUGAACACUCCUUUUGCAAGAGCAGGAAGUAUUAAAACUACACGACUUUAAAGGGUGUAAAAUUGAGAGUGUCUCCAAUGAGGUGCAAGCUGAAAUGCAAAUUAUACUAGAGCUGUCUUUUUAUAAUCUAAAGAUUUUGUGUAUAGCUAUGUAAUUUUGUGAAUUGAAUUCUAACAAGUAAUUCUAGAGAAACUGUGGUGAUUUAUAAACAGUAAGCAAGUUUACAAGCUUUAUUUCCACUGUUGUCAUUAAUCGUCUUCAACUAGUCAAUUGAACCAGUGGACCCUCACUCAGCUAGUAGAAAUUUCAUCUCUCUUCCUGAAACAUGCCUCAUCCAAAUUGAACAGAUUGUCUGACCCUAAGAAAAGGUUCAUAAGACAGGAAAGAUUAUUCAAAGAAGGCACAAACUGAUAAGGAUGAAAAUAAACUGGAAAUCUUAAGAUAUAUAUAUGUAUACAUAGAGCUCCUCCUUUGUGAUUGAAAUGAGCACAUUUCUCAAAUCCUAUGGACUCGAAGAUGACUGCAAGAUCCAAACCUAGCUUUAAAAAGCCGGCCGCAUACGUGGCAUGGAAUUCAUUUAAAACUCCACUAGCAGCAAGCUACUACUGAGGACAUUCAACAAGGUAGUAGGUAGGUAAGCUACAGCUGGGAUGCCAUGAAGGAGAGACAAUGUUCAAGUGUGAAAUUAUUAGUAAUGGUAAUGAAACAAAAAUAAAUCUUUAAUCAAAAUAUGUCAUUCUUUUUUUUAACAAUUAUAUCUCUAUAGGAGUUUGUGAUAAUUCUACCAUAGUUGUAUUUAUUUUGAUUUGUAAGACUUUACUUAAAAAAAACAACGUCUGAGCAGUAGGAGAGACAUAGGAACAGAAAGUCUUUUAAAAGGAACUUAAAAAUGUGACCAGGGAAAGAUAUUGUUACGGAUCUCACUAUCCAGGCUCUCUGCAAACUGCACCUUACACCACCAACUUAAAGAACUUGACAACUCAGUGCUCCAAAGUAACGCAACACUUUAAUAGUUGAAUAAAUAACAGCCAAUACUGUACAAUUGGCAACACGUACACUGUACAAAUAUCUCUCCGAUAACACCGUUCCGCCAUAUCAACUCUUGCACUGGCCUCUCCGUCUCGUUCCGGGCUUGCACUGGGUUCAACAGUUCAGGACUGACUUCACACACUAGGCUCGUUGUGUCGGACUCGAUCGCAGACCAAGAUCAAGACGCCAGUCGUCUCAACUGUACUUGACAGUACUCCGCACUGAACCGUCGUAAUGCUCCGUACAGAACCACACCGCUGAACUGUGCUGUAGUCGACCGGACUGUAGUGAACCGGGCUCUGAACCCCUGCCGUGAACCCGCUUUCUGAACCGUCCUGACUGCGACACCUCCGCUCUUUAUAUAGGGUCCCUACUGGCCUUCUAGAACCGGACAGAACGCCGCUCGACGUUUCUAGGUGGUCAGAUGACUACAACUCUCGUGACGCUAAUGAGCUCUGUUCACAACGGCGAUUCUUCCCGAACCCUCUUGUUGACACUCGUCUCGGCCGAUCGUCGUAACUCGUCACGGUUGACCGCUCGUCUAGCGCUGGCCUGGGGCGAUUUGCGUCGGCUGACUACACUCACACUACUACCCCCUUCUGUGCCACCACCAGGUUUAUAACAAUAUGAAAAAAAUGUUAAGGAUUAAAGAUUACUGUCCCCAACUAAAUAAUCAAAAUACUAUUAAUGCUUUAGUAUACAAAAGUUACCUAUUUAGAGAUUUGCUUUCAUAGAAAUUCACCUUGAAAAAGAAUUUUAAAUAAUGAUUUUUUCUUGUAAUCUUCCAUACUACAAUGCAAGUUUUAACAAUGUCUUCUGUGGUAUAUAGCAUUAAUUCUAUAGUUUUGUGAACAUCCUUCCAAUGACUACUAGACUCCUAAUUGAACACUAGAAGCUUAGGCUGAUUUCACUGGCACAGAAAGUGACGAGGAAAACCAUUUGUUGAUUGAACCAUUUAUUUGUUACGUAGCUCAUUAUCAUUCAUUAGAAUAAACAGAAAAUGUUAGCAAUUGCCUGAAAAGUAUUACUGUAUUAAAUAGUGUCAUAGCGCAAUGUAGUAAAAAAACAAAACAAAUAUAAGCAACAGAAAACAAGCAAAAAAAAAAGUAUGUAUAAAAUACAACACUCAUAGAAUAGUCAUCACAAGAAUCUGCACAGGUGUAAGUACACUAUUUACAUUCACUACAAGUUCCAUUCUUUUCUUUGAGUUUCAACAAAUGUCAAACUUGAAACCACAUACUGUAUACAGUACAAAUGUCAAACUUGAAACCACAUACUGUAUACAGUACAAAUGUCAAACUUGAAACCACAUACUGUAUACAGUACAAAUGUCAAACUUGAAACCACAUACCGUAUACAGUACAAAUAUCAAACUUGAAACCACAUACUGUAUACAGUACAAAUGUCAAAACCAACAUGUCAUGUACAUAUUCCAAUUAAGACUACACUAGAAAACCACAGAUGUACUCAAUUGAAAAAAUCUCCAUCCAUAGUAUUGCUUGUUAAAAACUAUUGUUUAUAUAUUGUAUCUUACCAAUGAAACAGAUCUUUUCAUUAUUGAACUGUUCCUAAAAGCAUACAGCUGUGUUAUUCCAGUGUAGUCUACUCUUUCAAACCAUAAUACCUCAGCUCUUGAUUUUCAAUAUAAGUAUGGCUUUUUGCCACAAUUUAGAUUGGUGCAGUAUAUACCCUAUGUUAAACAGUUUACAAUCAUCUUGUAUUAUUUUGUUUUUGAUCAAAUUGAGGGUUAAUGGAAAAAAGAAAAAAGAUUCAAAUUAGAAAAUAUUUAAUGGAGCUAUUUUAAAAAUGAUUCACCAUUUAGGGAUUUUGUACAGACUGACUUUACAAUAAGAUCUUUGGGAAUCUGUCCUUAGACUAUUUCAAUUAUAACCUCAACAAGACAAAUAAUGAAAACUAAGACAGCUCAAGACAUUUGACAAAGUAAAUUUAAAAUGUACUAAGACCUUAAUUAUUUCAGUGCUGUACAUAGUGCACUUGGUGGAUAGAUUCAUUUAAACAAAAACAAAUGUCUCAUUGUACAUGAAACAAUUUGGACCCAGAAACUAAAAAUCAAACUGAUAGGUUGAAAUAAAACCCAGAAUGAUGAGAAAUUAAAUUUAAAGGAUGCCAAGAGCCUUAUUUUAAUUUUUUUAAAAAUCUCAGUGGCUGUAUUGUUUUUCAGAUACGGUACCUUGAAUUAAUCAUUAAAAAUUUUUAGUUUAUAAUUAGCAUAUUGAUCAUUUAGAACAAAAUAUCAUGUUAGAAGUCCAAACUUUCAAGAUGUGAGAGCCACUUCACUUAACUGAAUUUAAGUCUCAAAAGGGAAAAACUUAAAAACUGAAAUCUUUAUCUAGUGAUAACCAGGAAACAAAGAGAAGAAAUGAAUAGAUUCAUUUAUGAAAGGGACACUUUAAAAAAAAAAGUCUUCAUAAUGCCUUUUUGAUUCAGAAUAAACAAACCACAAAAAUUAUAAUCAUUCUUACAUGUAUACCAGUACAGCAAAGAUUCAAUUCAAUCUAGACCAUUUAGCAACAGGAGUUGGUUUCAUCUGUGCAAUUCAAGUCAUUGAACAGCAUUUGUUCACUUACUUUCACACAAAAAAUCUCAGAAACAAAAAAAAAAAAAAGAAAUAAA